rnacentral:sRNA from 1 species
GUGAAGGCAGGAAGAUUUGGGGGCAGGAGUCUGACUGAGCAAAUAUAGUAUAUGAGAAAAGUUCUGGAUUGUCAUCACCACAUUUCCCUGCCAAUGUGUCUUAAUUCUGACCUUGAGGGGCCAUCUGUAGAGGCAACAGGGAGUUCAGUCUUUGUGACCACUUCAAUCCUUUGUAUCU